ACGUGCUUACCUUUUGUCAUUACAAGAUAUGCGUCGAUCUAUAGUUUUGCAUCAAUACUAGUGCGGGCUGCGGCAAAACUAACAAACAAUUGCAGUGACGAGAAUAGAGCAUAAUAAUACUUUUUUUUUUCUGUGCACAAAGAAUAUAGCUUUCCCAGUUUCAGUGCGGAACGCCGGAGCAGCAAAUCCUCAUCUAUUUGUCUCUCUUUAGAUUGAUUCUUCUCCUUCAAACCGGGCCAAAUCUAUGGGCAUACCGCAUACA
rnacentral:lncRNA from 1 species